rnacentral:rRNA from 1 species
GGCCUGCGCGGAAGAUGUAACGGGGCUCAAACUGGUUACCGAAGCUGCGGCUGUGCACGCAAGUGCACGGGGUAGGGGAGCGUUCUGUAAGCCUGCGAAGGUGUGUCGAGAGGCAUGCUGGAGGUAUCAGAAGUGCGAAUGCUGACAUGAGUAACGACAAUGGGGGUGAAAAACCCCCACGCCGGAAGACCAAGGGUUCCUGCGCAACGCUAAUCGGCGCAGGGUGAGUCGGCCCCUAAGGCGAGACCGAAAGGUGUAGUCGAUGGGAAACGGAUUAAUAUUUCCGUACCUUGGAUAGCUGCGAUGGAGAGACGGAGAAGGCUAGGUGAGCCGGGCGACGGUUGUCCCGGUUUAAGCAUGUAGGCAGUGGGAUUAGGCAAAUCCGGUCCCACAAUGCCGAGACGCGACGACGACUGCCCUUUUAGGGCGGGAAGUCAUUGAUGCCCUGCUUCCAGGAAAAUCUUCUAAGCUUCAGGCUAUUCGAGACCGUACCCCAAACCGACACAGGUGGUCAGGUAGAGAAUACCAAGGCGCUUGAGAGAACUCGGGUAAAGGAACUAGGCAAAAUGGUGCCGUAACUUCGGGAGAAGGCACGCCGGUGGUAUGUGACGCCCUUCGCGGGUUGAGCAGAAGCCGGUCGAAGAUACCAGGCCCCUGCGACUGUUUAUUAAAAACACAGCACUGUGCAAACACGAAAGUGGACGUAUACGGUGUGACGCCUGCCCGGUGCCGGAAGGUUAAUUGAUGGGGUUAGCGCUUGCGCGAAGCUCUUGAUCGAAGCCCCGGUAAACGGCGGCCGUAACUAUAACGGUCCUAAGGUAGCGAAAUUCCUUGUCGGGUAAGUUCCGACCUGCACGAAUGGCGUAACGAUGGGGGCGCUGUCUCUACCCGAGACUCAGUGAAAUUGAAAUCGCCGUGAAGAUGCGGUGUAUCCGCGGCUAGACGGAAAGACCCCGUGAACCUUUACUAUAGCUUCACAGUGAACUUUGAGCAUGUUUGUGUAGGAUAGCUGGGAGGCUUUGAAACCAGGACGCCAGUUCUGGUGGAGCCAACCUUGAAAUACCAGCCUGACCUGUUUGAGGUUCUAACUUCGACCCCUUAUCGGGGUUAAGGACACUGUGUGGUGGGUAGUUUGACUGGGGCGGUCUCCUCCCAAAGCGUAACGGAGGAGCACAAAGGUGGGCUAAGCAUGGUCGGACAUCAUGCGGUUAGUGUAAUGGCACAAGCCCGCUUAACUGCGAGACAGACACGUCGAGCAGGUACGAAAGUAGGUCAUAGUGAUCCGGUGGUUCUGUAUGGAAGGGCCAUCGCUCAACGGAUAAAAGGUACUCCGGGGAUAACAGGCUGAUACCGCCCAAGAGUUCAUAUCGACGGCGGUGUUUGGCACCUCGAUGUCGGCUCAUCACAUCCUGGGGCUGAAGUCGGUCCCAAGGGUAUGGCUGUUCGCCAUUUAAAGUGGUACGCGAGCUGGGUUUAGAACGUCGUGAGACAGUUCGGUCCCUAUCUGCCGUGGACGUUGGAGAUUUGAGGAAAGCUGCUCCUAGUACGAGAGGACCGGAGUGGACGAACCGCUGGUGUUCGGGUUGUGUCGCCAGACGCAUUGCCCGGUAGCUAUGUUCGGAUAGGAUAACCGCUGAAAGCAUCUAAGCGGGAAGCCCCUUCCAAGAUGAGAUCUCCCUGGACCCUUGAGGUCCCUGAAGAGCCGUUCAAGACCAGGACGUUGAUAGGUCGGGUGUGUAAGCGCUGCGAGGCGUUGAGCUAACCGAUACUAAUUGCUCGUGAGGCUUGACU